UACGAAGGGGGCUAGCGUUGUUCGGAAUUACUGGGCGUAAAGCGCACGUAGGCGGAUAUUUAAGUCAGGGGUGAAAUCCCGGGGCUCAACCCCGGAACUGCCUUUGAUACUGGAUAUCUUGAGUUCGGAAGAGGUAAGUGGAAUUGCGAGUGUAGAGGUGAAAUGCGCAGAUAUCGGGAGGAACACCCGUAGCGAAGGCGGCACUCUGGGCCGGAACUGACGCUGAGGAGCGAAAGCCAGGGGAGCGGAACGGG
rnacentral:rRNA from 1 species